GGACUGGUAGUUCAGCUGGUUAGAAUGCCGCCCUGUCACGGCGGAGGUCGCGGGUUCGAGUCCCGUCCGGUCCGCCA
rnacentral:tRNA from 1 species